CUAAAAGUUGAGACUCUUGCCAGCAGAGCCAUCUGUCAAGAGAUUAUGGAGAAGAAAAUUUCUGCAGGAAUUUUCCCUUGGGACCAGAGGAAGUGCCAAGAAAAGGUGUGUGGCAUCAGGAGUGAGCACAAACUCGAGUCUUCCGCAGUGCCUAUCACAGACAGAGCGGGAACCAUCAGCCCACUGGGUCUCAGAGAAGAGAAGAGAAGAGAUGGCAGUCUUUGUAUUGCUUUUGACCAGAGAACCUAGGUCAUUUUAGCAAGAGUUCAUGAAAACCAGUCUCUUUUAAGUGAUGAUUGAGAAGAAAAGCCACCUAUAUCCUCUUGCUUAGAUUCCCUUGAGAAGUGAGAGGAAAGUGAGCUGUGUAGCCUAGUAACCGUGGAACAUAUUUCCUGUAUAAUGUUCACAACUUUGGCAAGAUUUUCAUUUGAAGAAGAAGACAAAGCUGAUUAUUAUGACUGGAUAAUGUUGAAUGAGACUGGGAUGCUCUCUCUGUUUCCUGACUCCACACUUGACCAGGGGCAUUGUGAAUGAACGUAUGAAGAGGGUUGAGUGACUGUUUUGGUGGGAACAAUUUUCAGCAAUGAUCUAUCUUCCUAUCUUGCUUAGUUUGACCUGUGUAUUUCCAUGGCACUAAUUACCAAGUGGGAGUCUUGACAGAUCACAUUAGUCCAGGGAGAAUACAAGAGUCAAGGAGAAGCUUUCUCAUAUGAUUCUCCUAAAGGUCUGCCUAGGGUUUGUCUGCAGGUAAAAGUUUUGAACUUUUUUUCUCCUAGGUAUUCAAAAUCUCAGCUACAAAUUUACAUGAGUAUUACUCACUGAUAUUGCUUCAUGUAAUUAUUGUUUCCUACUAAAUUUGAAGACUUUUUGAGUGCUUUGUGUUUUGGGAUCAAUCCCAUAGGCUUGUUAUAUUUUUCUACAGGCUUCACUGAAAAAAAGUUUAAGUUAUGAGGGCAAAAGACUAUUAUACCAUUAAUUUCUUCUUUCCUUAUACACAGAGAUACCAGUUCAGGGUGGGAAUGAAUGCUUACCUUCCAAUAACCAUCCCCAAAUCAUCACUACAUCCUCCCACACUCUUUGUCUCAUCUUUAUAUAAAUCACUUCCUUCUAUAUGUUCCCACAUCAGCUCACACUUGACUAUCAUUGUGCUGAGCACCAUUACUUAAAAUUAUUUAUUUAUUGAUAUCUGACUUUUCUUUACUGAAUUAUAACUCCACAAAUUAGAAAACUGGUCUUAUUUUUCUUUGCAUCUUCUUCAAACUUCUGGAAGGACAGGUAUAUGGUAAUUGGCUAUUGAAUAAAUCAAUAAUCCAUUGAAUGAUCAUUUCAUUUUGUUCACACAUUACUUUUGAAGUUGAUCAACACCAGUGUCUGCCAAAUGCUUUUGUAAACUAUUUUAAUUCUAUAUCGAGUUACUAAAACUUCAACAAUAUUUGGUUAAAAAAUAAAAUUGGUGUUUUCCCUC